rnacentral:rRNA from 1 species
AGAACGAACGCUGGCGGCGCGCCUAACACAUGCAAGUCGAGCGCCUCGCUUUCGGGCGGGGAGCGGCGCACGGGUGAGUAACGCGUGGGAAUCUACCCUGGGGUUCGGGACAACGGCGGGAAACUGCCGCUAACACCGGAUACGGCCUUUUGGCGAAAGUUUACGCCCUGGGAUGAGCCCGCGUCCGAUUAGCUAGUUGGUGGGGUAACGGCCCACCAAGACUGCGAUCGGUAGCCGGUCUGAGAGGAUGAUCGGCCACACUGGGACUGAGACACGGCCCAGACUCCUACGGGAGGCAGCAGUGGGGAAUCUUGGACAAUGGGGGCAACCCUGAUCCAGCGACGCCGCGUGGGUGAUGAAGGCCUUCGGGUUGUAAAGCCCUUUUGUCGGGGACGAUGAUGACGGUACCCGGCGAAUAAGCACCGGCUAACUCCGUGCCAGCAGCCGC